UUUAUGGAGAGUUUGAUCCUGGCUCAGGAUGAACGCUGGCGGCGUGCCUAAUACAUGCAAGUCGAGCGAACGGAUGAGAAGCUUGCUUCUCUGAUGUUAGCGGCGGACGGGUGAGUAACACGUGGAUAACCUACCUAUAAGACUGGGACAACUUCGGGAAACCGGAGCUAAUACCGGAUAAUAUUUUGAACCGCAUGGUUCAAAAGUGAAAGACGGUCUUGCUGUCACUUAUAGAUGGAUCCGCGCUGCAUUAGCUAGUUGGUAAGGUAACGGCUUACCAAGGCAACGAU
rnacentral:rRNA from 1 species